UACGUAGGUGGCAAGCGUUGUCCGGAUUUACUGGGCGUAAAGGGCGUGCAGGCGGUUUGUUAAGUGCAGGGUGAAAGCUCCCGGCUCAACUGGGAGAGGUCCUUGCAUACUGGCGAACUCGAGGGAGGCAGAGGAAAGUGGAAUUCCCGGUGUAGUGGUGAUAUGCGUAGAUAUCGGGAGGAACAUCUGUGGCGAAGGCGACACCCUGGACCAGCACUGACACUGAGGCACGAAAGCGUGGGGAGCAAACAGG
rnacentral:rRNA from 1 species